GCCCCUAUGGCUCAGUGGUAGAGCGCUCCACUCGUAAUGGAGAGGUCCAUCGUUCGAUCCGGUGUGGGGGCA
rnacentral:tRNA from 1 species